CCCGCGAGGGACGGCGCCGCCCCGGGGCUCGUGAUAUCUUAUCUCGCCGCCCGUCGCGAGGCGGACGGAGGGAUGGAUGAGGUUACCUGGAAAAAAUCGGGGCGAUCUAGGCGGGCGAACCUCGCCAACGAACGAUCGGACAUGGGAUAACGGAAGAGGGCGUCGGCUCGACUUCGUCGGUUCCUCGGGCCGAGGCACGUACGGUGAAUAGGGGACGGUCGGGGCCGCCCGUACCGGGUCGUGAGAGGUGAAAUUCUAGGAUCGACCCGAGACGAACUGCCGCGAAAAGCAUUCGGCAAGGACGCUUUCAUUAAUCAAGAACGAAAGUCGGGGGAUCGAAGACGAUCAGAUACCGUCGUAGUCCCGACCGUAAACGAUGCCGACCGAGGGCCCGGAGGAGUUACGUACGACCCUCCGGGCCCUCCGCGAGAAAUCAGGAGUAUCGGGUUCCGGGG
rnacentral:rRNA from 1 species